rnacentral:tRNA from 2 species
GCGGCACUAGCUCAGCUGGUAGAGCGCAACCUUGCCAAGGUUGAGGUCAUGAGUUCGAACCUCAUGUGCCGCUCCA